UUUCCGUAGGUGAACCUGCGGAAGGAUCAUUAAUGAGUUGUCAUGGGGUUCGAUGCUGGCAGCCAGUUUUUGGAUGCAUGUGCUUGCCCUAACAAUCAUCUUCUUCCAAACACCUGUGCACAUUUUUGAGGGAGUCUUGAGUUGGUUGCCGCUCUUGGGUGAUUUUCUCACAUUCCCUUAAAUCAUUAUACGCUAUUAACAAUGUUGAACGUGCUCUGUGCCGCAAGGCCAUUAAUAUAAUACAACUUUUAACAACGGAUCUCUUGGCUCUCGCAUCGAUGAAGAACACAGC
rnacentral:misc_RNA from 1 species